rnacentral:rRNA from 1 species
GAUGAGCGCUGGCGGCGUGCCUAAUACAUGCAAGUCGAGCGAACGGACGAGAAGCUUGCUUCUCUGAUGUUAGCGGCGGACGGGUGAGUAACACGUGGAUAACCUACCUAUAAGACUGGGAUAACUUCGGGAAACCGGAGCUAAUACCGGAUAAUAUUUUGAACCGCAUGGUUCAAAAGUGAAAGACGGUCUUGCUGUCACUUAUAGAUGGAUCCGCGCUGCAUUAGCUAGUUGGUAAGGUAACGGCUUACCAAGGCAACGAUGCAUAGCCGACCUGAGAGGGUGAUCGGCCACACUGGAACUGAGACACGGUCCAGACUCCUACGGGAGGCAGCAGUAGGGAAUCUUCCGCAAUGGGCGAAAGCCUGACGGAGCAACGCCGCGUGAGUGAUGAAGGUCUUCGGAUCGUAAAACUCUGUUAUUAGGGAAGAACAGAUGUGUAAGUAACUGUGCACAUCUUGACGGUACCUAAUCAGAAAGCCACGGCUAACUACGUG